GAGGAAUAUUGGUCAAUGGGCGCGAGCCUGAACCAGCCAAGUCGCGUGAGGGAUGAAGGUUCUAUGGAUCGUAAACCUCUUUUAUAAGGGAAUAAAGUGCGGGACGUGUCCCGUUUUGUAUGUACCUUAUGAAUAAGGAUCGGCUAACUCCGUGCCAGCAGCCGCGGUAAUACGGAGGAUCCGAGCGUUAUCCGGAUUUAUUGGGUUUAAAGGGUGCGUAGGCGGCCUUUUAAGUCAGCGGUGAAAGUCUGUGGCUCAACCAUAGAAUUGCCGUUGAAACUGGGGGGCUUGAGUAUGUUUGAGGCAGGCGGAAUGCGUGGUGUAGCGGUGAAAUGCUUAGAUAUCACGCAGAACCCCGAUUGCGAAGGCAGCCUGCCAAGCCAUGACUGACGCUGAUGCACGAAAGCGUGGGGAUCAAACAGGAUUAGAUACCCUGGUAGUCCACGCAGUAAACGAUGAUCACUAGCUGUUUGCGAUACAGUGUAAGCGGCACAGCGAAAGCGUUAAGUGAUCCACCUGGGGAGUACGCCGGCAACGGUGAAACUCAAAGGAAUUGACGGGGGCCCGCACAAGCGGAGGAACAUGUGGUUUAAUUCGAUGAUACGCGAGGAACCUUACCCGGGUUUGAACGCAUUCGGACCGAGGUGGAAACACCUUUUCUAGCAAUAGCCGUUUGCGAGGUGCUGCAUGGUUGUCGUCAGCUCGUGCCGUGAGGUGUCGGCUUAAGUGCCAUAACGAGCGCAACCCUUGCCACUAGUUACUAACAGGUGAUGCUGAGGACUCUGGUGGGACUGCCAGCGUAAGCUGCGAGGAAGGCGGGGAUGACGUCAAAUCAGCACGGCCCUUACAUCCGGGGCGACACACGUGUUACAAUGGCGUGGACAAAGGGAGGCCACCUGGCGACAGGGAGCGAAUCCCCAAACCACGUCUCAGUUCGGAUCGGAGUCUGCAACCCGACUCCGUGAAGCUGGAUUCGCUAGUAAUCGCGCAUCAGCCAUGGCGCGGUGAAUACGUUCCCG
rnacentral:rRNA from 1 species